GAUGAACGCUGGCGGCGUGCUUAACACAUACAAGUCGAACGAUGAGGCCCAGCUUGCUGGGUGGAUUAGUGGCGAACGGGUGAGUAACACGUGAGUAACCUGCCCUUAACUCUGGGAUAAGCCUGGGAAACUGGGUCUAAUACCGGAUAGGAGCGCCUACCGCAUGGUGGGUGUUGGAAAGAUUUAUCGGUUUUGGAUGGACUCGCGGCCUAUCAGCUUGUUGGUGAGGUAAUGGCUCACCAAGGCGACGACGGGUAGCCGGCCUGAGAGGGUGACCGGCCACACUGGGACUGAGACACGGCCCAGACUCCUACGGGAGGCAGCAGUGGGGAAUAUUGCACAAUGGGCGAAAGCCUGAUGCAGCGACGCCGCGUGAGGGAUGACGGCCUUCGGGUUGUAAACCUCUUUCAGUAGGGAAGAAGCGAAAGUGACGGUACCUGCAGAAGAAGCACCGGCUAACUACGUG
rnacentral:rRNA from 1 species